rnacentral:ribozyme from 14 species
GUUUGAUGAAAAGAAAAAAUAAACCAAUGAAUAUGAUUUACUAUUAGCCUGUUCUGUUGAACCAUCCAUCAAUCAAAAACCAAUAGAAGUAAAG